AGAUACGGCCCAGACUCCUACGGGAGGCAGCAGUGGGGAAUAUUGCACAAUGGGCGCAAGCCUGAUGCAGCGACGCCGCGUGCGGGAUGACGGCCUUCGGGUUGUAAACCGCUUUUGAUCGGGAGCAAGCCUUCGGGUGAGUGUACCUUUCGAAUAAGCACCGGCUAACUACGUGCCAGCAGCCGCGGUAAUACGUAGGGUGCAAGCGUUAUCCGGAAUUAUUGGGCGUAAAGGGCUCGUAGGCGGUUCGUCGCGUCCGGUGUGAAAGUCCAUCGCUUAACGGUGGAUCUGCGCCGGGUACGGGCGGGCUGGAGUGCGGUAGGGGAGACUGGAAUUCCCGGUGUAACGGUGGAAUGUGUAGAUAUCGGGAAGAACACCAAUGGCGAAGGCAGGUCUCUGGGCCGUUACUGACGCUGAGGAGCGAAAGCGUGGGGAGCGAACAGGAUUAGAUACCCUGGUAGUCCACGCCGUAAACGGUGGAUGCUGGAUGUGGGGCCCGUUCCACGGGUUCCGUGUCGGAGCUAACGCGUUAAGCAUCCCGCCUGGGGAGUACGGCCGCAAGGCUAAAACUCAAAGAAAUUGACGGGGGCCCGCACAAGCGGCGGAGCAUGCGGAUUAAUUCGAUGCAACGCGAAGAACCUUACCUGGGCUUGACAUGUUCCCGACAGCCGUAGAGAUAUGGCCUCCCUUCGGGGCGGGUUCACAGGUGGUGCAUGGUCGUCGUCAGCUCGUGUCGUGAGAUGUUGGGUUAAGUCCCGCAACGAGCGCAACCCUCGCCCUGUGUUGCCAGCACGUCAUGGUGGGAACUCACGGGGGACCGCCGGGGUCAACUCGGAGGAAGGUGGGGAUGACGUCAGAUCAUCAUGCCCCUUACGUCCAGGGCUUCACGCAUGCUACAAUGGCCGGUACAACGGGAUGCGACACGGCGACGUGGAGCGGAUCCCUGAAAACCGGUCUCAGUUCGGAUUGGAGUCUGCAACCCGACUCCAUGAAGGCGGAGUCGCUAGUAAUCGCGGAUCAGCAACGCCGCGGUGAAUGCGUUCCCGGGCCUUGUACACACCGCCCGUCAAGUCAUGAAAGUGGGUAGCACCCGAAGCCGGUGGCCUAACCCUUUGUGGAUGGAGCCGUCUAAGGUGAGACUCGUGAUUGGGACUAAGUCGUAACAAGGUAGCCGUACCGGAAGGGGCGGCUG
rnacentral:rRNA from 1 species